GCGGGCAUAGUAUAAUGGUAGUACAUAACCUUCCCAAGGUUAGGGCGUGAGUUCGAUUCUCAUUGUCCGCU
rfam:Candidatus Staskawiczbacteria bacterium RIFCSPLOWO2_01_FTLL_33_9 rifcsplowo2_01_scaffold_29038, whole genome shotgun sequence.